AAUAAACGCUGGCGGCGUGCCUAACACAUGCAAGUCGAGCGAGAAAGCUCCUUCGGGAGUUAGUAAAGCGGCGAACGGGUGAGCAACACGUGAGAAUCUACCCUUUAGUGAAGAAUACCCUCGAGAAAUCGAGGCUAAUACUGCAUACGUCCCUUCGGGGAGAAAGAUGGCCUCUUUGCUAUCGCUAAAGGAUGAGCUUGCGUACUAUUAGCUAGUUGGCGGGGUAAAGGCCCACCAAGGCAAUGAUGGUUAACCGGCCUGAGAGGGUGUACGGUCACACUGGAACUUAGACACGGUCCAGACUCCUACGGGAGGCAGCAGUGAGGAAUCUUGCGCAAUGGGCGAAAGCCUGACGCAGCGACGCCGCGUGGAGGAUGACGGUUUUCGGAUUGUAAACUCCUGUUAAGCGGGAAGAAAGCCUUGUUUCUAAUACAAGCAAGGUAUGACGGUACCGCUAGAGAAAGCACCGGCUAACUUCGUGCCAGCAGCCGCGGUAAA
rnacentral:rRNA from 1 species